CUUAAUGCAUUGAUUUCUGUGCACCCUGAAAGGUCUAGCUGUGUAACAGACCCCAGUCCAUGAUCAUCUGAUAACUUAUUCCCAACAAUGUUAAGCUUGUUACACUUAGUUAUGGAAAGAGAAGUAAGUUUGGUAUUACGCCAAAUCGAUGAAGACAACUCACGUAUAGCAGUGCCACGUAAGAAUAACUCUGUAAUUUCCUCCAAUGUAACCGAAAAUUCUGUGAGAGAUGAACAACCAUCCAGUAAGAGUUCACGAAGAGAUUUUGAAUGAAUGUUCGUUUUAAGGCUUUCAAUAGUAAUGCAACCUCCUAAAUCUAGAAAUGUAAGUCGAGGGAGAGAAAAGAUGGAUGGAUGGAGCUGACGCAAGCUUUCACAUUGACAGAGAGAUGCUCUUCCAAGAUUUGUAGCCCUAGAUAAGUCGGGGAUCUCAAUCAGAUCUUUGGAGUAAUUAAGGCAGAUUGUGAUUAGAUUUUACAAGAUUCUGUAACAAGAAAUAAACAUGCAUAAGUGUUGAUUAAAAGAGAAACAAAACCUAGUUAAGAAUAAAUAGAGGCAUGUCAUCCUAGCUCUGCUACAAUUUUGUGAAUAGCACGAGACUCCUCUUGUACCUUUAUAAAGUUAACAAGUAUAUCCAAACAUAUUUGUACCUGAACUCCAUCUCAGAGAUUUUUAAGCUUGCUAUGAGUCAUGCUAAGCUCUACAAGCAUUUCAGCACAAAAGUUUGAUGGAAAAGACUAAAGACAAUAUCCCUCCCAUUGAAGGUACCUCAAUUUAUCAGAAAGCCACUCGAGACCAUCAGGAAAAUGUACAUUGCAUAUGCUCCCGUUGGAUAUAUUAUGAAUCUUAAGAUAUCUUAAGUUUGCCAUCCUUCUAAAGGAAUCAGACUUCAAGUAUAGAUCCCCAACUUCCGUAGUAUCGAAUAUUAUACCUUCCACAACUUCAGUUCCCUGACAACAAAAAUUAGAUUAAUAAUUAGGAAAGGCUGUCAUAUGUACUUUCAUUGUUAUAUUUUAUAAUUACAUACAUAUAUUUUCAUAUAUAUAUAUAAGUGAUUGCAUCCUCUGCUUACCUUGUUUUCUUUUAAUAUAUCAGAUAUUUCUUUAGCUCUCCACAACCGACUUCGUUUUCCAGGGUUUAUAGAUUCUUGAUUAACAAUCUCCCGUCCCAUUUCUUGUAACAAAUCAUGCAUAUGUAAACUAUCAACUUCAAACUUGGCAUACGAGUGCCAAUUUGGUUUUACUUGUAUGAGAGCUUUAUCUAAAAGGACUUCUAUCCCACUUUCUGCAAAGAACUUACAAGCUUCCAACAAAUCUAUUAUAAAUAUUUUAUGCUCUCCUCUCAAAAAGCAUGCAAUAUCUAAAAAUAUGGCCUUUUAAAAAAAAUCUAAGUCAUCAUAACUGAAUUUUAACACGGUAUAAAUUUUCCUAUUUGGAAUCUUUUCGAGCUUUUUCAAUUCAUUUUCCCAUGCCUCUUUGCCUCUUGAGCGGAGAUUUUCCCCUAAAACUUUUAAAGCCAGAGGAUUGCCUUUGCAAUAGGCAAUUACACUUUCUGAUAGAUCUUCACAUCCAAUUUUAGACUGUUUUUCUCCGAAGGCAUUCAAACUGAGUAGCUGAAGAGAAUCAUGGUUGUUCAAUUCCUUGACCUCAUAUAUCUCACAUUUACUGAACUGACUAAAUAUGUGCUUAUCUCUAGUUGUCAUAAUGACCCUACUACCCGGUCCCAGCCCAUCAAUUUUUAGGAUAAGAUCUUCUAUUUGCUCUAAGGUUUCUCUGCCAUCCAACACAAUUAAAACUUUUUUACGUGAAAUCCUUCUCUUGGAGAAAGUGGCUUCUAUGUAGGAUGCAUCAGGAUGAAUAUUUUCCUCCUCUAACAAUGAGGAUAAAAGUUUAUUGUAUACAACAUUAUGUCCAUACCUGUUUGAUUCAUCAAUUACAUUGAGAAAGCAACAACCUUCAAAUUGAGAAUAAAUUAUAGCAUAUGAAGCCCUAGCAAGAGUGGUCUUUCCUAUGCCACCCAUGCCCCAUAUUCCAAGGACUCUAACAUCAUUUGAGCCAAUUUUCAGUAUUGACUCAAUUUGGUCAUAAUUUUUCUCAACUCCAACAAGCCCCUUAAUUUCACAUGGGUAUCUAAGAUUCAGUUUCCGCAAAACAUUUUUAACAAUGUCCUUAAUGAAGUCCGAUUCGAUCCUAGAAUAUGAACGAGGGGAAGAAGAUUUUACAAGUCUAACAAAUACAAUAGUAGAAAAGUACAUCUAUAUGAUUAGUAUACAAAAUUUAUAGUCAAUAAGGUGACAGUGGCUUAGUAGAGCAAGAAACAAACAAAAAUUAGAUUUGGGGAAACAAAAUACCAAAGACACAAGGUAAUAAAUGUAUAUUUUCUAUGACUUUGGUAGUUUUCAGAAGGUUGUGUCAACUAUUACUUUGGCCUGUUUAUUUUCAAAAAUUAUUUUUAGUGUUUGUUUUCUAAAAUUUAUGUUCAUUUCCAAUUAAGAAUAUGGAGAUGAAAGACUCAUGUAGUAAAUAGCUGUGCUAUAUUAGAAAACAAAACAUGUAAAUGAUAUGAAAUAGUUUAUUUAUUUUACUUCGAAUUUUUUCGUUUUGUUUACCUGUAAUUUUGAGAGUCCCAACCAACUAAACUAGCUGCCUCAGUGAGUGCAUCUUUCCAUUCCUGUAACUUGUCAUUAUUGCUCUUCAAAUCUCGCUUAUGUUUUGCGAAGGCUUGCUUGUAACUCCCAGUCUGCUUCCUCACAUGUGAUGGAUCUAUGUUGUAAAAAACAGGUAUCACAAUCUGUACCAUAUAUUUCUUGCAUUCAAGAAUCUUUUUGAGCUCAUUCAAGCACCAUUUUGAGGAAGCAUAGUUUUCUGAGAAGAUGACAAUAGACACAUGUGACUCCUCAAUGGCUCUGAUGAGUGCUGGCGAUAUCUUAUCUCCUUUUUGAAGCUCAUUGUUGUCUAUAAAGGUUUCAACUUUCUUUCGGCUCCGAGCAUCAUAAAGAUGGCAUGUGAAGUUUCUGCGGGUAUCCUCACCUCGAAAGCUAAGAAAAACGUCAUAUUUUUUCACAGAUGCCACAGAAGAAGAAAAAACACUGUUUGUUUGCUUCCUAGCCAUUAUGAAUUCCAAGCGCUGCGCUAAUCACAAUGCUACACUCAAACAUAAAAAAUAUUUGAUGUUUAAAUUUGUUCUCGGUUACUUUUUGUACUGGCACUCGUGAUAGUGUUACAUAUUGAGAUUUAUAAAUCAGAUUGACAUCAGAUCAGGCAGUUCAAAGUCCACAUAUUGCUCAUAUAUCGACCUAGGUAAUGUGUAUUUUUUGAUCUAGGAAAGCNACAAUUGUAAAUCCCGCCUUAUUUGCUUGACGACGCACCCACUCAAGCAAUUCAUCUCUAUCUUUCGACAUAACGUCGUCUGACAAAAAAACUAGCCGUGUCGACCUCGUGGGCUUGAAGUGGGAGGACACCGGAGCCGCCAACAUACUUUGAAGCUUCAACAUGGAAGGAAGCUCCAUCAAUGUUUGAUUUCGCUUCACUUUAGGCGGUUUGACAUCUCCGGAAAUUUCGACAAAAUUUUGUUUUGUCUCUCCCGAAACAUCUUCCGCGUUCUCUACCAUUACUAUAAUUAAACAACACAUAAAUAUGAAUUAACAACUAACUAAUGUAUAAACAUCAAUGCCAUAAUGAAUUAAAACAAAAAAACAAAAAAAAGAAUUUUUUUUUUGAAAAACUGGCAGUAGCUGCCAUUUUUUCGAUGUGAAAAUUUUUCACAAGAGUUCCUCGGCACCUUACUACCGAGGUUUUCCUCGGCACUACACUAUCGACGUUUUCCUCGGCAAUUAACUGCCGAGGAUUCCCAUGACAAGGUUCUAUGUAACUGACGUAGAUACCCAUAAAAUAGCCCAAAAAUCAAUCGAAUAAAAUGCACAAUACCUAUUUUUUACGUCAAAACUGUGUUGAUACCUCCUAUGCUUGAUGCUUGAAUGAUUUUGGAUCAAUAAUUGAUUAAAAAAAAUGGAUUUUGGGAUUGAAUAAUGGAGGUGGAAAUGAAGUUGAUGAAGAAAAUAGUGUGUAGGGGGAGCAGGUGGUUGUUUCAUCUGAUGAAACAUUCUCUCGGCAGUUAACUGCAGCCGGAAUUCAAAUUCCUCGGCAGUUAACUGCCGAGGGGGUAAAAUCGUAUUUUACUAGUGUGUCACAGCCUUAUCAAAUGUGGGAACAACAAUUCUCAUUUGUUUAAGGUGAUGGUGAAAAGAAGGUGAAGAAAGGGAGAAAUAAUUAGGUGUUUUUGACUCACCGUAAGAUAAAAUACACCUGUAUAAUUGAAUGAUCAUCUUUUUAAAAAAACAUAUCAAGGGUUUAAAUUAAAAAUUUUCAUAAGGUCUAUGGUGGACUACUUUUAAGAUUGAUUCACAAUAGACAUUUGGGGGUUAAACUUAACACCAAUGAUUUAUUUGGCAAACAGAAGAAAAGAUGAAGGACUUAAAGGUACGUUUUAUUAAUUUUGGGACCAAAAUGAAAAGUUAAAAUUAAUUAAGGGAUCAUUGGAUCAAAUAAACCUAACAUUAACCAAGAGGAAGAAAUUUCGGAUAACGUAUAACAAAUGAUGUUAAAGUGACGGAUUGCAUUACUAUCCAGUAACAAUAAGAUUAGCAGAAUUAAUAAUAGGAACGUAGUUUUAUAUUUGUUUGUUAUGUUCUGAGUAAUAAUAGAUAAUUUAGUUGUAUAUCCUUACAUAUAAAUAACUUCGUAUUUUUUUUUGUCAAUUGUUUAGUGGUUAAAACUCACACAUUUUUUAUUAAAAAAAAAAAAAAAACUAAGAUAAGAAAAUGGGGUUAAGAUGACCGGUUCCAAUCUACUUUCUAUCAACAAAAAAAUGGGUUUAUGCCCCGCUAAAUAAAAUAACAAUAAUAAAAUAAAUAUAAUAACCAUAUUAAUUAAUAAAUAACAAAGAUAAGAAAUGGGAUUAAGAAAGGAAGGAAGGAAAAAUCCAAAGUGUCUUCUAGGAGCAAAGGUGUCAUGACAUUAUUAUUAGUAUUUUAUGGAACAAUAUUUAGGGUAGCAUGCCUCAUUCUAGUUUAAGAAAAAAUUCAAGGUUCAAUAAAUGCUUGCAUAAAUACUUACAUACUAUUCAUUAAUUAAAUAUAAGUUGCAUUCUUACAAAAUUGCUGACAUGACAUUAUUCUUUAACAAGCAUACAAAGAAAUAUGACAUUAGAGAUAGUGACCCUUUAAGUAAAAAUAUGUACAUCCUCCGAUUAUAAAAAAAUUAAUAUUUUAUAUUCAUUCAUUAAAUUAUGUUUCAUUAAAUUAUGUAUGUGGUUAAUAAUAAAGACUAUAUACAUCAUUUAAUGAAUGAAUCUAAAAUGUUAAUUUUUGCCUAUAAUAAUAAUAUAAUAAUAAUCGGAGGAUGUAUUAUGAAUUUGUCAAUAUGCGUGGUCAGAUCAGAUGCAUAAAAAAUAAAACUUACAUUGUGAAUUCAAUUUCCUAUAUUAAAACUUACAGUGUGAAUCUAAUUUCCUGUAUUAAAACUUAAGGUGUGAAUCUAAUUUUCUAUAUUAAAGUAAAUAGUUGUUACAUGAGGUCCAUUUCUUUUUAUUUGUUUCUUACCAAUCAAUUUCAGUAACCUUUAAACAAAUGUCAUAUUGUUGAAUCGUGAACUUUCUUCACACGUUCAAUGGCUGGUCCAAUUGAGAAAAUAUUAAUGAAUACAUGCUUUGAUAAAUUAUUUAUCAAAAACUGAUUUAUAUACUUUUUAUACACAAGGAAUUGAGUUGGACAAACCCCUUCACUCCGACCUCAUCCCCCAACCUCUCUCACUGCCAAUUUCAAGUGUGUUUAGCUGAGAAAAAGUUAUGUAAUAUUUUGAGGAAAUUCAAAUUCUUUUAAAUAAAUUUUGUUUGUUUGAAUGAUUAAAUUUAGAGAAUUUAUCAUAUUAAUGAAAUUCUAUGAAGUAUUAUGUUAAGUUAAAUUGAGUGAAUUUCAAAUGAUAUCUAAGGUUUAAGAAUUUCAAAUUUCCUACUAGAUAUAUAUUUCAAAAUUUCCAAGUUGGUCCCCAUAUUUUUCAAAAAAAAUAAAUUGACCCUUAAAUAUUUAAAAUAAAUUGCAAAUUGAUCCUUACAAUUUCUUGAAAAUUAUAAAUUGACCACUUUCAAUUUUUGAAAUCUACAAAUCAGCCCUCUAUUUUUCAAUUUUCAAAUUUGGCCCAAAAUUUUAGAAUAUAUAAAAGUAAGUAGCACAAAAAUAUAACUGAAGUAUUUUAUCACUGUAUCCAAACAAAAAUAUUUAAAAAUAAAGGCAUCUAGCGUCGAUCAUCUCACAAGGUGUUGGGAUGAUUUAUACCGCCGCUUUGAAAAUUAGAACUCUAAGACUAAGAAGGAAAAGAUGAAGGGAACUUGCUACAAAUGGUAUUAUUAAUGUGGCUUGGUGGAACUCUUUACCCUUCUUUACUAGGGAUGACUUUUAUAAAGACCGCUAUGAAUUUUUAAAUUAUCGUUCUCCAUAUCUCUUUGUAUUUUAAUUUGGUUUAUGUUUUGGUUUGGUCCUCCUCUGGUACGGUUUUUCAUUUUUUCAAUAAAUUUUUAGAUCAAGCUGACAUAGGAUGUGGUGAUUUUGAAGUGUCAACAUAGUUGAGAUGUCAAACCUUCUUUUUCAUUGUUGGAGCUUAUGACUUCACCUCCAAUUGCUGAAGGCUGUAACUCAUUAUAAUUUUCCUGCCCACCAGAAUAUUGAGCACUGAAUUUUAAUUUACCAAUUUCCCUACCAUCCAGAUCUGACUUAUGUUCUAAGUUAUAUACAGGUAAGACCCCACACCCCUUUAUCCCCUCCGUUGACCACCACAAUUCUUCAUUGACAUCAUGAUCUGAAAUUAAUACAUGAUCUGAAAUUAAUGUCCCAAUAUAAUUGCAAGCAAAAGUAAAACACGUUUCAACUUCUUUGCCGUUUUCAAAGAUGACACAAUGCAGGGGGUGAUUGCAAAUAUGGAAGCCCUUAGAAAGAAUGGUGCAGAAUAUGAAACCAGACAGGUUAUAUUUUGGAAUAGGAGGAAUGGUUAUUGAAGCCUUUAUUGUUUGAAAAUCAAACUUGCGAGGAACUUGUGCUCCUGGCAAGAUAGAGAAAUAAAAAUCAUCAUGUUCAUUUGCAUGAAAAGGGUAUUUAGAGAAGAUUUGUACCAUGUUCUCAAGAAAUGACCGUUGAGUGGAGUCUGUGUCCAGAUAAGUGCAAUUAAUGGCACUCAAAGAUAAUAGGGAUGGCGGAAGCUCUGUUACAGACACAAGUUUCCUGCAAUCAUCUAAAGCUAGACUUUUUAGCAUUGAAUGGUUUUGUAUGUUCUCGGGGAGACAUUCCAUGUUGCAACACUCAUGCAAUGAGAGCCAUUUUAAAGACUGUAUGCCAUCAAGGAUAGACCACAGACUUAAUGCAUUGAUUUCUGUGCACCCUAAAAGGUCUAGCUCGGUAACAGACCCAAGUCCAUGAUCAUUUGUUAACUUAUUCCCAACAAUGUUAAGCUUGUUACACUCGGAUAGGCCAAGCGAAGUAAGUUUUCUGUUACGCCAAAUCGAUGAAGACAAUUCACGUAUAGCAGUGCCACCUAAGGUCAACUCUGUCAUUUCAUCUGAUGUCACCGAAAAUUCUGUGAGAGAUGCACAACCAUCGAGUAAGAGUUCACGAAGAGAUUUUGAAUGAAUGUUGGUUUUAAGGCUUUCAAUCUUUUUGCAGUCUCGUAAAUCUAGAUAUCUAAGAUCAGGGAGAGAAAAGAUGGAAGGAUGGAGCUGACCCAGGCUUUCACAUUGAAAAAGAUAUACUCUAUGAAGAUUUGUAGCCUUAGAUAAGUCUGGGAUCUCAAUCAGAUUUUUGGAGGAUUCAAGCCAAAGUAUGUUUAGAUUCACAAGAUUCUGUAAAAAGAAAUAAAAACACCAUUUAAAUUCAUAAAUAGAGAAACUAAACCUAAUUAAGCAUAAAUAGAGACUUUUUAAGAAUGAGCAUUAGACUUCCUCUCAUACUUCAACAAAUUAACAAGUAUAUCCAAACACAUUUGUACCUGAACUCCAUCCCAUAGCUUUUUAAGCUUGCUAUGACUCAAGUGAAGCUCUAUGAGCAUUUCAGCACAAAAGGUUGAUGGCAAAUACUCAAGACAGUAUCCUUCCCAUCGAAGAUACCUCAAUUUAUCAGAAAUCCACUCAAGACCAUCGGGAAAGUACACAUUGCACGUGUUUCCUCUAGAUUUAUUAUAGAUUUUAAGAUAUCUUAAAUUUGUCAUCCUUCUAAAGGAAUUAGACUUCAAGUAAAGAUCCCCCACAUCUGUACUAUCGAAUGUUAUCCCUUCGACAGCUUUAGUUCCCUGAUAAAAAUUAAAUUAAUAAUUAGGAAUGGUUGUCACGUAUACUUUCCUUGUUAUAUUUCAUAAUCAAAUACAUGUGUUAUUUUCAUGUAGAAGUGCUUGCAUCCUCUACUUACCUUGUUAUUUUUCAAUACAUCAGAAAUACAUCAGAUAUCUCAUCAGCUUUCCACAGUCGACUUCGUUUUCCAGGGUCUUCAGAUUCUUGAUUAACAAUUUCCCGUCCCAUUUCUUGUAACAAAUCAUGCAUUUCUAUAAUACAAACUUCCCAUUUGACAUGCAAAAUUGAACCUAGUUGAAUGAGAGCCUUAUCUAGAAGGACUUCUAUCCCACUUAUUGCAAAGAACUCACAAGCUUCCAAUAGAUCUCUUACAAAAGUUUUAUCUUUUCCAUUCAACAAGCAUGCGAUGUCUAGAAAUAUGGCCUUCUGACAAUGAUCUAAAUCAUCAUAACUCAAUUUUAACACAUCAUAAAUCUUUCGAUUGGGAAUCUUUUGGAGCUUUUUCAGUUCAUUUUCCCAUGCUUCUCGGCCCCUUGAACUGAGAUUUGCACCUAAAACUUUUAAAGCCAGAGGGUUACCUUUGCAAUAGGCAAUUACACUAUCUGAUAGAUCUUCAUAUCCAGUUUUAGGAUGUUUUUCUUUGAAGGCAAUCAAACUGAAUAGCUGAAGAGAAUCAGGCUUCUCUAAUUCCUUAACCUCAUAUAUUUCACAUUUACUCAACUGACUAAAUAUCUGCUUAUCUCUAGUUGUAAUAAUGACCCUACUACCUGGUCCUAGACCAUCAAUUUUUAGGAUAAGAUCUUCUAUUUGUUCUAAGGUUUCUACACCAUCCAAAACAAUUAAAACUUUUUUACGCCCAAUCCUUCUCUCGGAGAAAGGGGCUUCUAUGUAGGAUGCAUCAGGAUGAAUAUUUUCUUCCUCUAACAAUGAAGACAGAAGUUUAUUGUGUAGAACAUUGAGUCCAUACUUGUUUGAUUCAUCCAUUACAUUGAGGACGCAACGACCUUCGAAUUGGGAAAAAUGUUUAGCAUAUAAUGUCUUAGCAAGGGUGGUCUUUCCUAUCCCACCCAUGCCCCAUAUUCCAAGUACUCUGACUUCAUUUGACCCAAUUUUCAGCAUUGAUUCAAUUUGUUCGUAAUUUUUCUCAAUUCCAACAAGCCCCUUAAUUUCAUAUGGGUACCUAAUAUUCAGUUUCCGCAAAACAUCUUCAACAAUGUCUUUAAUGAAGUCUGGUUCACUCCUAACAUAUGAAAGAUGGGAAGAAUGUUUUACAACAAAAGAAAAAUGCAUUCAUAUAUAUGAUUAGGACAUAAUAAAAUUUAUAUUCAACAUGGUGGCAGAGUAGAGCACAUAAAGAAAAUCAAUUACGUAAGACACAGAAGAUAAUUAAUGUCUUAUUUUUUUAGGAAGUGAAAUCCUAAAGAAAAUUCCAAAAAAUUGUAUAGAUUUUAAAAAAAUUGUAUGAUAACUAUGGCCAGGCACAUCAACAUCAUUGUUUACUUUCUAAAGUUAUUAUUAGCUUUCAUUUUCUCAAAUUUAUGUUCAUUUCCAAUCACGAAUAUGGAAAUGAAAAACUUGUGUAGUAAAAAAUUGUGCUAUAUUAGAAAACAAAACUUGCAAAUCAUAGGAUAUAGUUUAUUGAUUUACUUAGGAUAGUUCGUUUUACUUACCUAUAAUUUCGAGAGUCCCAACCAACCAAAUUAGCUGCCUCGGUGAGAGAAUCUUUCCAUUUCUUCAACUUGUCAUUAUUGUGCUUCAAAUCUUGCUUAUGUUUUGCAAAGGCUUGCUUGUAACUCCCGGUCUGCUUCCUCACAUGUGAUGGAUCUAUGUUGUAAAAAACUGGUAUCACAAUCUGUUGCAUAUAUUUCUUGCAUUCAAGAAUCUUUUUGAGCUCAUUCAAGCACCAUUUUGAGGAAGCAUAGUUUUCUGAGAAGAUGACAAUAGAUGCAUGUGACUCCUCAAUGGCUUUGAUGAGUGCUGCCGAGAUCUCAUCUCCUUUUCGAAGCUCAUUGUUGUCUAUAAAUGUUUCAACUUUCUUUCGGCUCAAAGCAUCAUAAAGAUGGCUAGUGAAGUUUCUGCGAGUAUCCUCACCUCGAAAGCUAAGAAAAACGUCAUAUUUUUUCUGAGGCACCACAUCAGAAGAAACUAUAGAGGAAAAGGCACUGCUCAUUUUCGGCACGGCAGUUAUGAAUUCCAAGUGCCUGCACUGAUUAGGCCACUAAUCACAAUGCUACAAUAAAAAAGAAGUAAUGUUUAAUUAGAGAAAGUAGUAGAUAAAUUAAAAUUGAGGGAAAAAAGAUUAUACGUACCAAAGUCAGAAUCCAGCUUCAUGCAAUAGAGGAGAAGAAUACUGUAAAAGUUAUAAUCCAGCUUCCGGAAUUAAUUUUGGAUGAGCACACACAAACUCUUCAUAAUGCUUUGGUUGGUCAUGAUGUAUAUUGUAUAUAGAUGUAAUGUGUGGUUAUCCUUCAAGGAAGUUUCGUUUGCUUAAACAUUGUGUUUGGUAGAGGUGAUUUAUGAGAGAGAAAUAGGUGAGAGAGAGAGAUACAAGAGAAAUGUUGUAUUUCUUCAGUUUGCUAAUAUUAUGUUUUAAAAAAUAAUUUGUUAGUUGUCAUUAACUAUUCUGUUAUCAUUUGAAUAGGAGGAAUAUGACCGACAACUUGCCGAGGCUCUUUCUAAAGGGUUAACUGUUGAUCAUAGUUUGGCCCUCCAAAUUUGGACCAAAGUUGCUGGCGAUAAAACCAAAGGAAAAUUAUAUGGUGCCGGUAACUUGACCGCUAACUACCGGAAGGGUGUUGCAACAACCCUCAGAUUUACCCUUAAUCAUGGCGAAGGAUCCUCCCAGCAGCCUGCACUGACCCCUGAGAUGCAUGACCUUAUUCAAAGAUUGACUCAAGAGCAGCUCACCCAGCAAAUGGCGAGACAUGAGGCCGUUGUACAAGAUUUGCUUAGCCGCCAACGAACAUAUGAGGAGCAACUGGCUCAAUUUCGGCAAGCACAUGAGGAUGGGAAUUCAAGUCAGCAAGCGUCAGUUCCAGAUCCCAAUGUAGAGCCUUUUCCAAUUUAUGGCGAAGGUGGAAGCGAAGGAAGCAAGGAGAUUGAGAGCGAUGAUGAGGAGUGAAGUUGGACCCUUAUGAUGUGUUCAUGCAUGUUAUUUUAUUUUGCUUUUAUUAUCUAUGGUGUGUAAUAUUUGGGAAAGUUUGUUAUGCUUCGUGAUACAAUUGCUACUUAUUUGCUACUUAUGGUCUAUAACAUUAUUCCCUAUGAUUUUAAUUUCAUUACUGUUGGACUUAAUAUUUUGUGGGUGCUAUUACUUUAAUUUUUAUUCUUAACUACUUAUUUUAAAGCAAUUAAAUUAAAAAAACCAUGUGUUUUAAAUUAUUUUAAAUGAUUUUAAAAUAAUGAAAUUAAAAAAAGCAAUUUAAAAUCGUUUUUAAAUUUAUUUUAAUAAUUAAUUUUAAUUAUUUUAAUGAAAUUAACGUUUUUAAAAAACAAUUAAAAACCAUUUUUUAAAAAAAUUAUCUCUGCAAUUUGCCAGGGGUAUACCCCUUGCAAUACUCCUGUCAUAUUUUGGGUCAGACUGCAGCUGAUUGACAGCGCGUAAGUUCUGCAGUGCGUCAGAAAAGCCUGCAGUGCGUCAGGUAAGCAGGUUGUUGAGUCAGACAAUUAGUCAGGGCCCUGCCAGGGGUUUUUCCAGGAGUUAUAAGAGGGGUUUAGACAGGAGUGUGUCCCACGCAGAUUUGCAGCCCUGGCAUAGCAAUUUGCUAUGAGCGCAUUUGCCACUGAUUCAACUCCUCACAAAAGCCCUGGCAAAUGGCUUUUUCCCAGGGAUUCUUGCAAUUUCACAAGGAAUCCACCCCUGGCUAAUUGCAGGAUUUCUUGUAGUGUUCAAUUGUUUUUCUCUGCUAUUCUCCCUUGUUCAUAAUUGUGGUUCAAAGUACCAAAGGGAAUGGAUUAGGUAUGACAAUUUAUCAUUAAAUAUUCCAAUUUAAUAAAUGACACAUGUUGAACAUUAUUUGUUGCAUUACUUAAUAACUCUCGGAUGCCAUGCCUCAAAACACAAAUGAAUCAAAUGAUGGUAGUAUUUGGCAAAUAAUUUAUAAUAAUAUCUAGAACGAAAUUUGUUUCUUUAAUUAAUAAGACCUCCAUUGCUGCAAGUGGCAAAGUACUUGGAUCAAUUCAUUGGUUCAGGUUGUAAGGCAUUUGAUCCUUUUUAGCAAGUGAUCAAAGGUUUGAUCUCUGACUCUUGUAUAUGAAAAAAAGAAUCCAAUUAGAAGUAGAGAACUCAUCUUGUAUAUCUCACGGGUUCUCUGACGCAGAUUAAUCACCGCUAAAAUUCUUGUGUUUCUUAUCAACAUUUUCUCAUAACAAUAAGCAUUUUCCAUCAUGUUAAGUCCUUUUCUAUUUAAAAAUGAUCUGCAAUGCUAGGGAGAAUGAUAGAUGGUAAGAAACAUGGAAGUUCCCAACUUCCAAAAGAUCCUACUGAAAGGCAAUAAAUAAGCCUAUGGGUGCUCAAAUAUUGUUCUGAAUGAAAGCAAGUUGAUUACCAAAUAAACUACCCUCCCCAAGUGGAUAGCAUAGGGGCAAGUUCCCAAAUUCAAAUACAUGAAACUAGGAUUAUGUUAAUGAAUACCGAUGUGAUUACUGCAAAACGAAGAAGAACGACAAGUCAUUUAGUUACAAAGCAGAUGUUUGAAGAAAGAGGAGUUCAAGUACCAAGAAACACAACAGAAAACAACUGCAUAAAUUUAGGAAGUUUUCUGCCAUGGUAAAAGUAACAAGCAACCUAUCAUUGCACAGCUUGAUAUCACCAGUCUACUGCAUCAACACAUACUGUUGAGUGAAUGUAAUGAUGUUGUGCUCAUUUUACUUGGGAAACAGGAGAAAGAGACCAAAAAACAUUUCUGACUUCUAUUAUUCUUUUGAUCGUUUUAACAAGUGCCUCAUCAAAGAACCUGUCCAAUGUUAUUGCAACAAGACGAAUAUUAUUUUCUAGAAUCACAAGAUUUUUGAAACAAUUCUUCAUUUUGAAGAUUUUUCAAUUAAAAAAAAAACUAAUAUGGAAUGUAUAACUAGAGAGUGGGUUUUGAGUUUCAUACCUAUUGAACAAGAAGGUUGUUCUUGGUAUUCUUCAUUAUCAUUGUUAGAGCUUCCGACUUCACCUUCAAUUUUUCUUGGCUGUCAUCAAUAUCAUUUUUCAAAUCAAAAUCAAAUUCACCAGAGUCCUGAGCACUGGAUUUUAAUUUUGAUUUAACUAUUUCCUCACGACUACUACUUAUAACAUACAGCUCCGACUCACUUUUCAAGUCAUAUACAGGUAAGACUCCACACCCCUUUAUCCCCUCUGUUGACCACCACAAUUGUUCCUUUUGACCUUGAAGUAGGAACUGAAAUGAUAGGUUGCAAAAGUCAUGACUUCCAGUUUCUUGUUUGUUGUAACCAUUCCAGCAUAUCAAUACAUGAUCUGAAAUUAAUGUCCCAAGAUAUUUGCAACUAAUACGACAUCUGUCGACUUCUUUGCCAAAGUUGCAUGCAACUUCUACACCUGACAAGAGAGAAAAAUGACGAACACCAUCUUCAUCAGGAGUGUCUUUAGAGAAAGUUCGUACCAUGUUCUCAAGCAAUAACCGUUGAGUGGAGUUCAUAUCCAGAUAAUUGCAGUUAACAGCUGUCAAAUAUAACAGGGAUGCUGGAAGCUCUGCUAGAGACACAAGUUUCCUGCAAUCAUCUAAAUCAAGCCAUUUUAGGAUUGAAUGGUUUUGGAUAUUCUCGGGGAGACUUUCUAAGUUGCAGCACUCAUUCAAUAUUAGCUGUUUUAAAGAUUGUAUGCCAUCAAGGAUGGACCAAAGACUUAAUGCAUUGAUUUCUGUGCACCCUGAAAGGUCUAGCUUUGUAACAGACCACAGUCCAUGAUCAUCUCUUAACUUAUUCCCAACAAUUUUAAGCUUGUUACACUCAGAUAGGCCAAGCCAAGUAAGUUUGCUAUUGCGCCAAAUCGAUGAAGACAAUUCACGUAUAGCAGUGCCGCCUAAGGUCAACUCUGUCAUUUCCUCCGAUGUCACCAAAAAUUCUGUGAGAGUUGAACAACCAUCGAGUAAGAGUUCACGAAGAGAUUUUGAAUGAAUGUUGGUUUUAAGGCUUUCAAUCUUUUUGCAACCUCGUAAAUCUAGAUAUCUAAGAUCAGGGAGACAGAAGAUGGAAGGAUGGAGCUGACACAGGCUUUCACAUUGAAAAACACUCCAUGAAGAUUUGUAUCCUUAGAUAAGUCUGGGAUCUCAAUCAGAUCUUUGGAGGAUUCAAGCCGGAGUAUGUUUAGAUUCACAAGAUUCUGUAACAAUAAAUAAACAUGACAUUGCUUAGAAACCAUUAAAUCCAUAAUUAAGCAUAAAUAGAGACUUCUUAAGAAUGUGCAUCAGACUUCCUCUCAUACCUAAAUAAAUUAACACGUACGUAUAUCCAAACACAUUUGUACCUGAACUCCAUCCCAGAGCUUUUUAAGCUUGCUAUGACCCAUGUGAAGCUCUAUGAGCAUUUCAGCACAAAAGGUUGGUGGCAAAGACUCAAGGCAGUAUCCCUCCCACAUAAGGAACCUCAAUUUAUUAGAAAGCCACUCAAGACCGUCGGGAAAGUGCACAUUGCAUGUUCUCCCAUUAGAUAUAUUAUAGAUUUUAAGAUAUCUUAAGUUUGUCAUCCUUCUAAAGGAAUCAGACUUUAAGUAAAGAUUCCCAACUUCUGUACUAUCAAAUGUUAUACCUUCCACAACUCCCGUUCCCUACCAAACAAAAAUCAGAUUAUUAAUUAGGAAAGGAUGUAAUAAAUGUUUGCUUGUUAUAUUUCAUAACCACAAACAUGUGUUUUCAUAUGGAAGUAAUUGCAUUGUCUACUUACCUUGUUUUUUUUCAAUACAUCAGAUAUUUCUUCAGCAUUCCACAAUCGACUUCGUUUUCCAGGGUUCUUAGAUUCUUGAUUAACAAUCUCUCGUCCCAUUUCUUGUAACAAAUCAUGCAUUUCUAUACCAUCAACGUCCGACUUGACAUAAACAUGCCAUAUUUUUUUUAGUUGUAUGAGAGAUUUAUCUAGAAGGACUUCUAUCCCACUUACUGCAAAGAACUCACAAGCUUCCAAAAGUUUUCUUACGAAAGAUUUACUCUCUUCUCUCAGCAAGCAUGCGUUGUCUAGAAAUAUGGCCUUUUGACAACAAUCUAAGUCAUCAUAACUCAAUUUUAAUACAUUGUAAAUUUUCGUAUUGGGAAUCUUUUGGAGCUUUUUCAAUUCAUUUUCCCAUUCAUCUUUGCCUCUUGAACUCAGAUUAGCACCUAAAACUUUUAAAGCCAGAGGAUUGCCUUUGCAAUAGGCAAUUACACUCUCUGAUAGAUCUUCAUAUCCAAUUUUAGGAUGUUUUUCCUUGAAGACAGUCAAACUGAAUAGCUGAAAAGAAUCAUGAUUAUUCAAUUCCUUAACCUCGUAUAUUUCACAUUUACUGAACUGACUAAUUAUGUGCUUAUCUCUAGUUGUAAUAAUGACCCUACUACCGGGUCCCAGCCCAUCAAUUUUUAGGAUAAAAUCUUCUAUUCUCUCUAAGGUUUCCACGCCAUCCAAUACAAUUAUAACUUUUUUAAGCGCAAUCCUUCUUUCGGAGAAAGGGACUUCUAUGUAGGGUGCAUCAGGAUGAAGAUUUUCUUCCUAUAACAAUGAAGAUAAAAGUUUAUUGUAUACAACAUUGAGUCCAUACUUGUUUGAUUCAUCCAUUACAUUGAGGAAGCAACGACCUUCGAAUUGGGAAUAAAGUUUAGCAUAUAAAGUCUUAGCAAGGGUUGUCUUUCCUAUGCCACCCAUGCCCCAUAUUCCAAGGACUUUAACAUCAUUUGACCCAAUUUUCAGCAUUGAUUCAAUUUGUUUAUAAUUUUUCUCAAUUCCAACAAGACCCUUAAUUUCAUAUGGGUAUCUAAGAUUUAGUUUCCUUAAAACAUCUUCAACAAUGUCCUUAAUGAAGUCCACUUCAAUCCUUGCACAUGAAGGAAGGAAAGGUCUUACAAGUCUAACAAAUACAAUAGAAGAAAAAUACAUCUAUAUGAUUAGUAUACAAAUUUGUAGUCAACAUGGUGGCAUUAACAUCUAUUUUUUCUACGAAGUGAAAUCCUAAAGAAAUUCCAAAAAAUCAAAAAUCAAAAAAAGGUUUUUAUGCUACCCAAACGAUAAGAUGAUGUAUUCUUUGUAUUUAGAUUUAAGAGUAUCAAUUGAGUGAUAAGUGUAUGCAGGGUACAAGAAUAUGUUGACUUUGAAGACUCCUACCCUCUUCCCAAUAGUAAAUAACUGUGCUAUAUUAGAAUACAAAACAUGCAAAUGAUAGGAAAUAGUUUAUUGAUUUUACUUUGAAUUUUGGAAACAUACAAGUGAUGAACAUAUCCAAAGCUGGAUAGUUUGUUUUAUUUACCUAUAAUUUUGAGAGUCCCAUCCAACUAAAUUAGCUGCCUCAGUGAGAGAGGCUUUCCAUUUCUCCAACUUGGCAUUAUUGUGCUUCAAAUCUUGCUUAUGUUUUGCAAAGGCUUGCUUGUAACUCCCGGUUUGCUUCCUCACAUGUGAUGGAUCAAUGUUGUAAAAAAUAGGUAUCACGAUCUGUUCCAUAUAUUGCUUGCAUUCUAGAAUCUUUUUGAGAUCAUUCAAACACCAUUUUGAGGAAGCGUAGUUUUCUGAGAAGAUGACAAUAGACACAUGUGACUCCUCAAUGGUUUUGAUGAGUGUUGGUGAGAUCUCAUCUCCUUUUUGAAGGUCAUUGUUGUCUAUGAAGGUUUCAACUUUCUUUCGACUCAAAGCAUCAUAAAGAUGGCUUGUGAAGUUUCUGCGAGUAUCCUCACCUCGAAAGCUAAGAAAAACGUCAUAUUUUUUCGGAGGCCCCACAUAAGAAGAAGAUAUAGAGGAAAAAGCACUGCUCAUUUUCUGCGCGGCGGUUAUGAUUUCCAAAUGCCUGCACUAAGCCACUAAUCACAAUGCUACAAUAAAAAAAAGUAUUGGGCUUCAUAAAUUUGAUUAUCAUUUGGAAUCAUUUUUGGCAGCAUAACAAAAAGAAUGGCAACAUUCAAAGCGAGCCUAACAAAAAUAAGGCAAAUUCUAUAUUACACCCAAUAUAUUUGAGUGUAUCGGUACAUCCACUCUUUAAAUUAAUAGUUAAAUGAGUUUUUUUUUGAAGAAAAAUAUUAUUUUUUAUCAUUUAUUAUUAUAAUAACUAAAUCUUAUUCAUAAAAAAUAUCAACAAAAUAAAAUUAUUAUUUUUUGAAUUUUUAUUGCUCAUAAUUUAUAACAUUUAUUAUUUUUUACGAUAAUAUGUAAAAAAAAAUACUAUGAUUGUCAUAAACAAUGAAAUGAUUUUUUUUUUUUUUAUGAACUGAUGUUAUAUAAAAUAUAACUAUUGACAAAGAGCUAUUUAUUACAUAAAAAAUUAUCGUUAAUUUAUAAAAUUAUGAAGAAGGAGUACCGGUACACCUCACUUUGUGAGUGUACCGUAGAAGUUUCCCAACAAAAUAAUUACAAUAAUAUAGAUGAAUGUCUUGAGACAAUUUAUUUUUGGCGAUUACUUUCUCCACCCUAUAAGGUUCUCACACGUCCUUUUUUUUUUCUUUCCAAAUUGCCCCUUAGAUUUUAGAAAAUGAAAACCAAUUCCAAAUAUAAAUUCCGAAACAUUUCGCUUUAUAAAAGCAAGAUCAGCAACUUCCACCAUUUUACAGUUUUAGUUUUACAAUUUCACUUUCUCUCUCUCUCUCUCACCGAUCCCAUAAUCCUAAAAUAUUGGUCCAAUCUUUGAGUUUUUUUUGCUCAAAAUCAUCACAUUUGAAGCUUUAUCAAACCCCAUAGUGAAGGUUAGGUCUCAUUCCAUCUGCAUACAAGCCUUUGAGUUCGAAUAUUUUUUUUGUGGCAACUGAAUAUGUUUGGAUUAUAAAAUCCAAACUGGAUUGUUGAAGUUCAGAUUUUAUAAUCUGAAGUGUACCUGUAGGCAGAUUUUUGGACAAUUUUGUGGAUUUAUAUUGAUUGCGUUUUACCUGGUUAUGCAUGUUACAAGCAUGGAUCGUGUUGGGCGCACCGUGGGUGAUGGAGAAGCAAUGCAUGUUUAUGUUUGGAGAGAGCGUUUGGAGAGGUUGCAAGCGGAGGGGAGAGUGCCCAGGCGUGGCAAGGGCAGGGAAAGGGCACGCCGUGGUGAUGCUGAUGGCGAGGGAACAUCUCAGGGGAACUAUAUUGAGCUUGAGCCACAGAGGGAGAUAAGAGAAGGUGGAGGGUGAUGUUGAGCAACAGGAGGAGGGUGAUGAAGAGCAGCAUGAGCGUGUGCAGCCAAAGCCAAAGGAGCUUGAUCACUAUCUUGGUGGCCCACACGACUUGACUGUGCUGACCAAGUACCAUGUUCACGUGGUCAGGAUGGCAGUUGAUGAAGUGGUAAGACACUGCACCUUUAAUUUAAUGAAAAUUGAAUUUUUAUGUUUAAUUAAUAAUAAUUGUAAACUUUUUGUUAAUUUUUGUCAUGUAUUAUUUCGAUUACUGUGAAACUGAUGUUAAUUUUUUGUUUUAAAUUUUAGCAGUGCGGUGACAAUUUAAAAUGUGUAAACAACAGGAAGAAGAUAGAAGCGAUACAUAAACCAAAGGUUUAAAUGUAUUUCAUCCUUGCAAUUAAGGGUCGUUUAAAAAUUGGUCCCUGUAUUCGCUAAUCCUUGCAAACUAGCCUUGCAAUAAUUAAUCAUUUAAAAUUUCGUCCUUUGACCAACUUAAUCACUGCCACGUCACUAAUUUGAUGACGUGGCAAUCACUAUCACACAUGAAAUUCCAAUUUUUCUCUUAAGAAGAGGACAAAAUAUUGAAGAAAGAAUUAGAAACUCAGGGGUAAAAUUGGAAUUUCAUGUGUGACAGUGAUUGGCACGUCAUCAAAUUAGUGAUGUGGCAGUGAUUAAGUGGGGAGAGGGACGAAAUUUUAAAUGAUUAAACAAUGCAAGGGUAAAUUGCAAGGAUUAGCGAUUACAGAGACCAAUUUUUAAACGACCCAUAAUUGCAAGGAUGAAAUACAUAUUUAAGCCUAAACCAAACAAGACUCUGAUGGCAAGACUGUGUGGUUUAAGCAUGGGCUGAAAGUCACUGGUCUUCGGUGGCUGCAGGAUAUCAGCUACAGCCAGAUUGAACACGGGCUUUGUUCUGCAAUUGUGGAGAGAUGGCACGAGGAGACAUCGAACUUUCAUCUUCCGUUUGGGGAUAUGAUAGUGGCACUGGAUGAUGUGUCAUGUUUGCUGCAUCUCGCCAUCGAGGGUAUGCUCUUGUCCUAUGAAAGUAUGUCAAGGGGUGAUGUUGUUGAGUUGUUGAUGGAAUUGUUGAGGGUUGAUGCGGGCGAGACAUGGACCGAGGUGGAAAAGAAAAAAGGUGGACAUGCACGGUUUAACUUCUUGAAGGAUAUAUACUUUCAAGGAGCAUGUUCGGGAGGCACAUGAGGUCUACCAUGCUGGUCAGUUUGUUGAGAUGCAGCAGCGGGAGUAUUUUCCAACAGAAGGUAUGGCCUAAACUAAUUUUAUCAAUUUAUUUAUUUCAAAUUCUAUGAUCAAUUUGAAAAUGACCUAUGUAAUUAGAGAAACUAGCAGUUAAAUUAAAAUUGAGGGAAAAAAGAUCAUACCAAAGUCAGAUCAAUCCAGCUUCAUGCAAUAGAGGAGAAAAAGACAGUAUGGCUUAGCUUCUGGUGGAAUCAAAUUUGGAUGAAAAUUAAUUAAGGAUAAACACACACAAACACUUCAUAAUGCCUUGGUCCUGAUGUAUAUACAUGUAAUGGGUCAAAUUUAAAAUAUAAAAUAACAAGUGUGGCUUAGCUUGCUUCCUUUUUGAUGGAGACUACUAGAUAAACUAUGGAAUUGGAUUUCAGAUUAAAAUAUAUGCAAAAUUAAGCUUGUUGUCCUUCAAUUUUGAGUCAUUUUUCAGAUUAUACCUAUUCACGUAUGUAAACACAAGUUAAUUACAAUAGGUGAGUUGCUGAGUGAAAUGUCUUAGGUGCAAUUCCAAGAACAAUUAGAUUAUACCUAUUAAGCUUGUUGUCCUUUAAUUUUGACUAUUUUUCAGAUUAUACCUUUUAGUUUUUCUUUCUUCCUUGAAUAGUUUCUUCAAAUAUUUAUAAUUACCAACAGAAGGUAGAGCCUUGGACUUAUACAAUAUAUAAGUGGCUUAGAUGUAUUCUUGUCUUUCGUUGGUCUAUGAAAUCGUAAAAACAAACACUUUCGUAUAUUUAAUUAAAUUUAAAGGUAAAGUAAAACAUUAAAUUAAUUUUAAAAUCCCUCCCCUCGUGAACCACAUCAAUUAAUGUUUUUAUUUUUUGUGGAAUUUCUAAAUGUUUUAAUUGAUUAGUUUUUUUUUUAAAGAAUGUUUUGAUUGAUUAGUUGUGUAUGUACAAAGCUGUUUUAGACCGUCGACUCGUUAAUCUUAAACCCUUAACAAAAACUGAUUUAGACCGUCGACUCGCUAAUCAAACCAAGUAAUUAAAUUAAAAAAUUACUUUCUGUUGGAGAAAAGAUACUAUUUGGAAUAUGCAUUGGAAAUAAUGAGUAGCAGAGAGAUUACAAACACUAUAUUAUUUUGUGGGAAAACCAAGAUCUUUGAUCUGUAUCAUUUAAAAAGGAAAGACCAUUAACAGAACCAUUAUUAUUCUUCUUAUCUUUAUUUCUUAUGACUCAAAAUCAUGAAACUCAAGUAGCUACUGCAAUAGGGAGAAAAAGAGGAAGAAGACCGACAAUUCAUUUAAUGACGAAGCAGAAGAUGUUAGAAGAAAGCAGCAUUGCUAUCUUCAAUGAUCAAGAACAUUGACACUGUGAUGUGAUCCUAAAAUUCUCUCUCUUGACAAGAAUAAUAAAGUCAUUGUAGAAUAAAAGAACCAAAUUAAUUUUGGGUUCAAAGUUUUAUUUUCGUAGGUCAUUAUAUGUCUGUCUUGUUUUGGCUAUAUCUGGAGCUCUGGAUAUCCGUUUGAGGUGAUCUUUAACUCGUUGGAAAGCUUACGAAAUUCUCUACAUUUCAUCUGUUUGAUUCAAGAGCAAAUUCGGAAUAUUUAAUGGUGCAGAAUGAGCUGUAGGUAGAAGACGUGGUUAAAGUAUGUUAGCUGAAGAAUUAAAGGUGGUGUUUGUGGAAUUGUAACGUCUAGCCAUAAUAAGCCUUCACAAAUCAAUGUGCAAAUGAAUAUGUAACCUUCUCAUGCAUUGAUCAACCACCAACUUUAAAGAUCCAAUUAAAUUGUAACCUCUUUUGUAAUAACUAGCCACCUAGGAAUUAUAACACUAAUUAUGCUAUGAUUGUAAGUUUUUCAGCUUCCAAGCCUAUUUCCUAUAAAAAGGGGGCGAAAAUAAUGAAGGGGACAAGUUGAAUUUAAAAAAAAUAAAAAAUAAAUAGAGAAUUUUAGGAUCACAUCACACUGCUAAGGAAAAUGAAUGGGGAUCUUUACACAAAAUUAUGAAACGCUGCAAACCUGGUUAUAGCUGACUACUUAUACCAACAAUAAAAACAGGAUCAGAUUGAUUAAUACCAGCAAUCACAGCACAGAACUGCUGAAUAAAAUUAGGAAUACUUCUGCAAAGGUAUAAAUUAUAAAGUUUAAAUAUGCCUUUAGUCCUUGCACUUUUAUCAGAUUUUGGCAUUGGUCCCUACACUUUUUUUUGUUUGGAAUUGGUCCCUGCACUUUGUAAAAAUAUUGGUAUUGGUCCCUGCACUUUGUAAAAAUAUUGAUAUUGGUGCCACGUGGCGUGAAAUGAUUGGGCCACGUGGCACUCCGUUGAUUUUGUGUUUUUUUUUUUAACAGAAAGUUAACAGGGGGUCAAUACCAAUAUUUUUACUAAGUGCAGGGACCAAUGCCAAAAUCUGAUGAAAGUGUAGGGACCAAUGACACAUUUAAACCAAAUUAUAAUUAGCACAACGUAUCAUUGCACUUAGGCAUUUAAAUGAUGAAUUUAAUACCAGUCUACUGCAUCACCGAAUCUUUCUGAAUGAAUGCGAUGAUGUUGUGCUUAUUGUAUUUGAGAAACAGGAGAAAGAGAUUACAAUAUUUCCGACUUGUAUUAUUCUUUUGACCCUCUUAGCAAGUGCCUCAAAAAAAGACCUGCCCAAUAUGUUGUUUCAGCAUAAAGUUAUUGCAAUACACCGAGCAUUAUUCACUUGAAGGAUUAAAAUUUUCUAUUAAAUAAAAAAUAUUGAAUCUAUAAUUAUAAAGUCGGUUAAAACUUCAUACCGAUUGAACAAGAAGGUUGUUCCUCUUUGCAUGAAUAGGAAGGUUGUUCCUGGUUAUCUUCAUUUUCAUUGUUAGAGCUUCUGACUUCACCUCCAAUUGCUAUAGACACAUCAGAGUCUUGAGCAAUGGAUUUUAAUUUACCAAUUUCCUUACUAAUGAUACUGCUACCACCACCUUCCAACUCACGUUCUAAGGCAUAUACAGGUAUGACCCCACACCCUUUUAUCCCCUCUGUUGACCACCACAAUUCUUCAUUGGGACCUUGAAGUAUGAAUUUAAAUGAUAAGUUACAAUCAUAACUUCCACUUUCUUGUAUGUUGUAACCAUGCCAACGCAUCAAUACAUGAUCUGAAAUUAAUGUCCCGAGAUAAUUGAAUCUAAUGCGACGUCUGUCGACUUCUUUUCCGCAUUCAAAGAUAAUACAAUGAAGGACAUGGUGGUUAACAGUGAAGCCCUCAGAAAAAAGGAUGCAAAAUAUGAAACCACACAAGUCAGAUUUAGCAAUAGGAAGAAUAGUUAUUGAAGCCUUGAUUGUCUGAAAAUCAAAAUUUAAUGGAAUUUGUGCUCCUGGCAUGAAAGAGAAAGGACGGAUAACACCUUCAUGUUCAAUAGAAGGGUCUUCACAGAACUUUUGUGCCUUGUUCUUAAUCAAUGAAAAUUGUGUGAAGUAUGUGUCCAGAUAUGUGCAAUUAACGGCUGUUAAAUAAAACAGGGAUGGCGGAAUCUCUGUUAGAGACACAAGUUUCCUGCAAUUGUCUAAUUCAAGCCAUUCUAGCAUUGAAUGGUUUUGUAUGUUCUUAGGGAGACAUUCUAAGUUGCAACACUCAUUCAAUUUUAGCCGUUUUAAAGAUUGUAUGCCAUCAAGGAUGGACGACAGACUUAUUGCAUUGAUUUCUGUGCACCCAGAAAGGUCUAGCUCUGUAACAGACCCCAGUCCAUGAUCAUCUGUUAACUUAUUCCCAACAAUAGUAAGCUUGUUACAUCCAGCUAGGUCAAGAACAGUAAGUUUGGUAUUAUGCCAAAUCGAUGAAGUCAAUUCAUGUAUAGAAGUGUCACGUAAGGAUAAUUUUGUCAUUUCCUCCGAUGUCACUGAAAAUUCUGUGAGAGAUGAACAACCAUUGAGUAAGAGUUGACGAAGAGAUUUUGAAUGAAUGUUUGUUUUAAGGCUUUCAAUACUUAUGCAACCUCUUAAGUCUAGAUAUUGAAGUUGAGGGAGAGAAAAGAUGGAUGGAUGGAGUUGACGCAAGCUUUCACAUUCCGAGAGAAGUACAACAACAAGAUUUGUAGCCCUAGAUAAGUCUGGGAUCUCAAUCAGAUCUUUGGAGGAUCGAAGCCAAAGUGUUCUUAGAUUCACAAGAUUCUGUAACAAGAAAUAAACAUCCAUGAGUGUUGAUUAAAAGAGAAACAAAACCUAGUUAAACAUAAAGAGAAACAUCCUAGCUCUGCUGCAAUUUAGUGAAAAACAUUUGUACCUGAACUCCAUCCCAGAGCUUUUUAAGCUUGCUAUGACUCAUGCAAAGAUAUACAAGCAUUUCAGCACAAAAGGUUGAUGGCAAAGACUCAAGACAGUAUCUUACCCAUAGAAGAUACCUCAAUUUAUCAGAAAUCCACUCAAGACCGUCAGGAAAGUACACAUUGCCUGUGCUCCCAUCAGAAUCAUUACAGAUAUGAAGAUAUCUUAAAUUUGUCAUCCUUCUAAAGGAAUCAGACUUCAAGUAAAUAUCCCCAACAUUUGUACUAUGGAACCUUAUACCUUCCACAACUUCAGUUCCCUGACAAAUAAAAAUUAGAUUAAUAAUUAGGAAAGGCUGUCAUGUGUACUUUCCUCGUUAUAUUUUAUAAUCACAUACAUGUUUUUUCGUAUAGAAAUGAUUGCAUUCUCUAGUUACCUUGUUUUCUUUUAAUAUAUCAGAUAUUUCUUCAGCUCUCCAUAACCGACUUCGUUUUCCAGGAUCUUUAGACUCUUGAUUAACAAUCUCCCGUCCCAUUUCUUGUAACAAAUCAUGCAUAUCUAAACCAUCAGUUUCCAAUUUGGCCAACGAGUGCCAAUUUGAUUUUAUUUGUAUGAAAGCUUUAUCUAGAAGGACUUCUAUCCCACUUUCUGCAAAGAACUCACAAGCUUCCAAGAAAUGUAUCACAAACAUUUUAUUCUCUCCUCUCAACAAGCAUGCGAUAUCUAGAAAUAUGUCCUUUUGAAAAAUAUCUAAGUUAUCAUAACUCAAUUUUAACAUAUUGUUAAUUUCCCCAUUUGGAAUCCUUUCGAGCUUUUUCAAUUCAUCUUCCCAUACUUUUUUGCCUCUUGAACGGAGAUUUUUACCUAAAACUUUUAAAGCCAAAGGGUUGCCUCUGCAAUAGGCAAUUACACUUUCCGAUAGAUCUUCAUAUCCAAUUUUAGGCUGUUUUUCUCCGAAGGCAAACAAACUGAAUAGUUGAAGAGAAUCAUGUUUGUUCAAUUCAUUAAACUCAUAUAUUUCACAAUUACUCAACUGACUUAGUAUGUGCUUAUCUCUAGUUGUAAUAAUGACCCUACUACCCAAUCCCAACCCAUAAAUUAUUAGGAUAAGAUCAUCUAAUUAAUCUAAGGUAUCCAAACCAUCCAACACAAUAAAAACUUUUUUAAGUGCAAUCCUUCUCACGGAGAAAGAGGAUUCUAUGUAGGAUGCAUCGGGAUGAAUUUUUUCUUCCUCUAACAAUGAAGACAAAAGUUUAUUGUGUAGACCAUUGACUCCAUACUUGUUUGAUUCAUCCAUUACAUAGUGGAAGCAAAGAACUUCAAAUUGGGAAUAAAGUUUACCAAAUAAAGUCCUAGCAAUGGUGGUCUUUCCUAUGCCACCCAUGCCCCAUAUUCCAAUGAUUAUAACAUCAUUUGACCCAAUUUCCAUCAUUGAUUCAAUUUGUUCGUAAUUUUUCUCAAUUCCAACAAGCCCAUUAAUAUCAUAUGGGUAUCUAGGAUUCAGUUUCCGCAAAACAUCUUCAACAAUGGCUUUAAUGAAGUCUGAGUCACUCCUAACAUAUGAAAGAGGGGAAGAAGGUUUAACAUGUCUACUAAAUACAAUAAAUAAACAUCUAUAUGAUUAGAAAUAUAUACAAAAUUUAUAGUCAACAUGAUGGUAGUGGCGUAGUAGAGCAAAAAAAGAAGCAAAAAUGAGAUUCGAGGAAAUGAAAUACCAAACACACAGUGCAAUUAAAGUCUAUUUUUUCUAGGAAGUGAAAUCCUAAAGAAAAUUAUAAAAAAAUAAAAGUUUUAUGAUACUCGAAGCAUGUGUUGCUACUAUUAAGAUUUUAGUGAUACAAAUAGAAUCAGCCAAAUCGAAGUAAAAAAAAUUGUGAGAUAGUGUAUGAUGACUUUGAUAGUUUUGAGAAGGUCAUCAACUAUGGCCAGGCACAUCAAUGUCAUUGUUCACUUCUCGAAAUAAUUUGGCCUGGUUUACUUUCUAAAAUUAUAUUUCGUCUUCAAUUUCUAAAAUUUAUGUUCAUUUCCAACUACAAAUAUGGAGAUGAAAGACUUAUGAAGUAAACAAUUGUGCUAUAUUAGAAACAAAACAUUCAAAUGAUAGGAAAUAGUUUAUUGAUUUUACUUACCUAUAAUUUCGAGAGUCCCAACCAACUAAAUUAGCUGCAUCAGUGAGAGCAGCUUUCCAUUUCUCCAACUUAUCGUUAUUGUGCUUCAAAUUUCGCUUAUGUUUUGCAAAGGCUUGCUUGUAACUCCCGGUCUGCUUCCUCACAUGUGAUGGAUCUAUGUUGUAAAAAACUGGUAUCACAAUCUGUUCCAUAUAUUUCUUGCAUUCAAGAAUCUUUUUGAGCUCAUUCAAGCACCAUUUUGAGGAAGCAUAGUUUUCUGAGAAGAUGACAAUAGAUGCAUGUGACUCCUCAAUGGCUUUGAUGAGUGCUGCCGAGAUCUCAUCUCCUUUUUGAAGCUCAUUGUUGUCUAUAAAGGUUUCAACUUUCUUUCGGCUCAGAGCGUCGUAAAGAUGGCUAGUGAAGUUUCUGCGAGUAUCCUCACCUCGAAAGCUAAGAAAAACCUCAUAUUUUUUCUUAGGGACCACAUCAGAAGAAGAUACAGAGGAAAAAGCACUGCUCAUUUUCUCCUCGUGACGGUUAUGAAUUCCCAGGGCCUGUACUAAGCCACUAAUCACAAUGCUACAAUAAAAAAAAAAAGUAAUGUUUAUUGUGUUCUUGAUACUUUUGACCACACUCAUUCUCGUUGUAAUUAGAGAAACUAGUUGUUAAAUUAAAAUUAAGAAGAAAAAAGAUCAUACCAAAGUCAGAAUCAAGCUUCAUGCAAGAAGACUUUAAAGUCAUAAAUCCCAACAGUAGUAUGGCUUAGCUUCUGCUGGAAUCAAUUUUAGAUGAAAAUUAAUUAAGGAUAAACACACACAAACACUUCAUAUAGAUGUAAUGAUUCAAAAUUAAAAUAUAAAAUAGUAAGUGUGGUUUCGUGGUUAUCCUUCAAGGAAGUUUCGUGGUUUUAUUUUCAGUUUUUCUUUCUUCCUUUGAAUAGUUUCUUUAAAUAUUCAAAUGUGUACGUCGUGGUGUUCUUCAGAAGGUAUGGCCAUCACAUUAUUCUUUAUAACAACCAUAUAAAAAAAAAAAUGACAUUAUGAAUUUGUCAUCAUGUGUGGUCAGAUCAGAUGCAUAAUGUGUAAGACGCCGGCUGAAUAAAAUAUGGCAACAAGAGAAUAUUUAGACAAACAAUGAUGCACAUAAUAUAGUGUGAAUCUAAUUUCCUAUAUUAAACUAAAUAGUUGUUACAUAAGGUUCCAUUUCUUUCUAUUUGUUUUUUUACCAAUCAAAUUAAGUAACCUUUAAACAAAUAUCAUAUAUAGUUGAACCGUUGAAUCUUGAACCUUAUUCACAUGUUCAAUGGCUGGUCCAAUCAUUUGUUUAAUGGUUGGUCCAAUUUAGAAAAUAUUAAUGAAGACGGCCUGCUUUGAUAAAUUAUUUAUUUAAAAACUUAUUUAUAUCCUUUUUUACUAACAAGGAAUUGAGACGUAACCAAAAAAAAAACAAGGAAUUGAGAUGGCCCUCUUCCGAUCUCAUCCCAACCCCACCAAUGGCCAACUUUAAAGCUAUGUUUGGAUUGGUAGAGAGUGGUGGAAUGGAAUUGAAUGAAGUGGGAUAGAUUCACAUUCUAUUGUUUGGUUUUGUAAAAAAAGGAAUAGAAUGGAAUGUAGUGUAAUGGAACUCAUUGCAUCCAAUACCACCUAUUUAACCAAUUUUCCAGUUCCUCCCAAUUUGGGGUGUAUGCAAUGAAAAAACAACAAUCUUCCUAGUAAAUACUAUAAAACAACAAUCAUCACCAAUGGUGGAAAUUAAUCAACAAAAAUUGAAAAAGACUUCCAUAAAAAUGAGUGCCUCAAAAGUAACCUUCAAAAGAUUCAAUUGAUAAGCAAUAAUCCAGCUUAACAUUGAGCUUCUCAUACGUAGCAUUCCAAUUUAUUAUGUCUGAAUUACAAGCAAUCAGAAGUUGAGGACAAGCCUAUAGAAGCUCAAAUUUUUCUGAAUAAAACCAUACCCUACACCGAAUUAGGGCUCUAUGAAGCCUCUAAUACUCGAAACAAUCGAAGAAGCAUUGGGGCUCUAAGACUAAGAAGGAGAAGAUGAAAAGAAACUAGCUACAAAAUUAAAACAUAUGUUUUCAUUGAUUAAUUACAUUCCUAAAGAUACAACACACUUAUCCCCUCUGUUGAACACCACAAUUGUUCCUUGUGACCUUGAAGUAGAAAUUGAAAUGAUAAGUUGCAAAAAUCAUAAAUUUCACUAUCUUGUCUGUUGUGAACAUGCCAGCAUACCAGUACAUAAUCAGAAAUGAAUGUCCCAAGAUAACUGUCACUAAUACAACGUAUGUCGGCUUCUUUUCCGUUUUCAAAGAUAAUACAGUGAACGGCAUCAGGGGCGGUUCUAAGGCCCGGCGACCCCCGGCUCCGGGCCAAAUUUUUUGUGUAAAUCCCUAUGAAUUUCUUAUAUAAACCCCUAUAAAUUGGGCAAUUUCUUUACAUUUUUUAUUAUUUGCUUGCAAUUUCUUAUGUACGCCCUAUAAAUGUGUUGCAAAAAAAUUUUCCGCCCAGGCUUUACAAUAUUCCUGGCUCCGCCACUGAACGGCAUGGUGGUAAACAUUAAAGCCCUCAGAAAGAAUGAUGGAAAAUAUAAAACUGCACAAAUCAGAUUUUGGAAUAGGAGGAAUAAUUAUUGAAGCCUCUAUUGUCUGAAAAUCAAACAUGCAUGCAAUGGAGUCUUCAGAGAAGGUUUGUAACAUGUUAUUAAAAAAUGACGGUUGAAUGGAGUAUGUGUCCAGAUAACUGCAAUUAACGGCAGGGAUGGUGGAAGCUCUGUUAGAGACACAAUUUUCCUGCAAUCAUCUAAAUCAAGCCAUUCCCAACAUUGAAUGGUUUUGGAUAUUGUCGGGGAGAACAUCUAAGUUGCAACACUCUUUCAAUUUUAGCCGUUUUAAAGACUAUAUACCAUCGAGGAUGGACCACAGACUUAAUGCAUCGAUUUCUGUGCACCCUGAAAGGUCUAGUUCGGUAACAAACCCAAGCCCAUGAUCAUCUGAUAACUUCUUCCCAACAGUGUUGAGCUUGUUACACUCAGUUAGACCAAGAGAAGUAAGUUUGCAAUUACGCCAAAUCGAUAAAGAUAAUUCACGUAUAGCAGUGCCAUGUAAGGAUAACUCUGUCAUUUCCUCUGAUGUCACCGAAAAUUCCAUGAGGGAUGAACAACCAUCAACUAAGAGAGAUUUUGAAUGAAAAUUGGUUUUUAGGCUAUGACUCAUGCAAAUCUCUACAAGCAUUUCAGCACAAAAGGUUGAUGGCAAAGAUUCAAGACAGUAUCCAUCCCAUCGAAGGUACCUCAAUUUAUCAGAAAUCCACUCAAGACCAUCGGGAAAGUACACAUUGCAUGUGCUCCCAUCAGAUAUAUUAUAGAUUUUAAGAUAUCUUAUAUUUUUCAUCCUUCUAAAGGAAUCAGACUUCAAUAAAGAUCCCCAACAUCUGUACAAUGGAACGUUAUACCUUCCACAGCUUCAGUUCCCUAAUAAAAACAUUUUUUUUUAAUAAUUAGGAAUGGUUCCCUGAUGAACUUUCCUUGUUAUAUUUCCCUGACGCAUUUUUGUUAUAAUUAGGAAUUGCAAACUCUAUUACCUUGUUGUUUUUCAAUAAUUCAGAUAUUUCUUCAGCCCUCCACAAUCUACUUCUUUUCCCAGGGUCUUUAGAUUCUUGAUUAACAAUCUCCCGACCCAUUUCUUGUAACAAAACAUGCAUUUCUAUUGUAUCAACAUCCAGAUUUACAUGCCAAAUAAGUUUUAGUUCUAUGAGAGCUUUAUCUAGAAGGACUUCUAUCCCAAUUGUUGCAAAGAAUCGACAAGCUUCCAAUACAUGUUUUACAAAAUCUUUAUGCUCUUCUCUCAACAAGCAUGCGAUAUCUAGAAAUAUGGCCUUUUGACAACAAUCUAAGUCAUCAUAACUCAAUUUUAACACAUUAAAAAUUUUCCUAUUGGGAAUCUUUUGGAGCAUUUUCAAUUCAUUGUCCCAUGCUUCCUUGCUUCUUGAACUCGGAUUUGCACCUAAAACUUUUAUAGCCAGAGGAUUGCCUUUGCAAUAGGCAAUUACACUCUCUGAUAGAUCUUCAUAUCCAAUUUUAGGAUGUUUUUCUCCGAAGAUAGUCAAACUCAAUAGUUGAAGAGAAUCAUGUUUGUUCAAUUCCUUAACCUCACAUAUUUGCACAUUUUGUGAAUUGACUAAAUAUGUGUUUAUAUCUAGUUGUAAUAAUGACCCCACUACCCGGUGCCAGUCCAUCAAUUUUUAGCAUAAGAUCUUCUAUUUGCUCUACAGUUUCUCUACACUAUCCAGCACAAUGUAAAAUUCUUUACGUGCAAUCCUUCUCACAGAGAAAGGGGUUUCUACGUGCAAUAAUUCUCACUCUGUUUUUUUAUUUUUUUAUUUUUUUUUCUUCUUUCUAAUCCUUUGAAUAUCUCCAGGUUCUUACUUUAUUGAAGGAAAUGUAACAUGAAGAAAAUAUAAGGAAAUGUAACAUGAAGCAAAAUUUGAGGAAAGAAAAGUUAGGCCUCAUCCUCAAGUAGUAGGAAUGUAGUCCAAUUUUGAUGGCAAAUUACACCCUAUUUCCAUUAACUUUUCAUCGGUAAGAACCAUGUCAUGGACGAGUCUUCAGAUAAGCAGAGACUUUGAGGGAGGAAUAUCUUUGCUCCAAAGUAGGAGCAAUGUGUUUUUUAAAAGAAUAAGUAUCUUUUAAAAGCUAAAUUUCCAUCAGAGGUUCUUUUCCAAAUCAAAGAAUCUUCACAGUCUUCAUCAGGAAUAGUUGCAGCACAAGCAAGCUAAUAGUAGGGAACAUCAACAGGACAUCACGAAGAAUGUUCCAGUGAAAAUUGGUGAAAUAGUAUUAGUCAGACACUUUUGAAGGGAAAGUGUUGAUAAAUAUAUUUUUCCUUAUAAAUAUAAAAAUAAAUAUUUGUCACCGAUACAAUAAAAAAAAUACACAAGACAAAUAUUCAUAAAAAAUUGGAUUAUUAUUUUUCAUUGAUAAACAAUCUAUGACACAAGAUAUAAACGGAGAAAUAAUUGUCACUAUUAAGCAGUAGUAAUUGACACAAGAUAUAAAUACUUUCAUGUACUUGAAGCUGCUCAUUCUAACCAAGGAAUUUCACUACUUCAACACCAAUGUUGCUCAGAUUUGUUUGCAAACUCAUGCUUACUUUGCUCAGAACCCUUCUCAACAUCCUCUGACCCCUCCAUGAAGUUACAGAAGCAUCAUAGCUCGAUAUCAAACAGUCUAAUGCAUAAACAGAUAUUGCGAUGAAGUAUUGUGCGAGAAACAAUGAGACAGAAAACGUUUCUGACUAUUAUAAUUCUUUGGACCCUCGAUAAAAUACAGCCGGUCAUUAUUUUCUAGAAUCAUGAGAAUUUUAAAACAAUUCUUCAAUUGAAGGAUUUAAAUCUUUUAAUAAAAUAAGCUAAGGUGGAAGGUAUGAUUGAAAAAGUGGAAAUUAUAUAGUGCUACAAUCAAAAUAAUUAACGGCUACUAACUAGCAUAACCUCUAGGAAUUAGAAAGCUUCUGCCUUGUUUAAAGAUACAAACAUACAAUUACACAGACUUGGGUCUAAUUACUUGGCGCCUGCGUCUAACAGAAGGUUGUUCCUCUACUUUGUAAGAAUAAGAAGGUUGUUCCUGAUCAUCUUCAUUUUCAUUGUUAUAGCUUCUGCCUUCACCUCCAAUUGCUAUAGACACAUAAGAGUCUUGAGCAAUGGAUUUUAACUUACCAAUUUCCUUACUAAUGCUACUACCCCAAUAUUCCCAUACAGGUAAGACCCCACACCCCUUUAUCCCCUCCUUUGACCACCGUAAUUCUUCAUUGGGACCUUGAAGUAUGAAUUGAAAUGAUAAGUUGCAAAUAUCAUAACUUCCAUUUUCUUGUCUGUUGUAACCAUGCCAACAUAUCAAUGCAUGAUCUGAAAUUAAUGUCCCAAAAUAAUUGUGACUAAUGCGACGUCUGUUGACUUCUUUUCCGCGUUCAAAAAUAAUACAAUGAAGGGCAUGGUGGUUAAUAGUGAAGCCCUCAGAAAAAAGGAUGCGAAAUAUGAAACCACAUAAGACAGAUUUUUUAAUAGGAAGAAUAGUUAUUGAAGCCUCGAUUGUCUGAAAAUCAAAAAUUAUUGGAUCUUGUGCUCCUGGCAGGAAAGAGAAAGCAUUUAUCACACCUUCUUCAAUAGAAGGGUCUUCAAAGAUCUUUCGUACCAUGUUUUCAAGCAAUGACCAUUGUGUGGAAUCUGUGUCCAGAUAAGUGCAAUUAACAGCUUUAAAAUAUAACAGGGAUGGCGGAAGCUCUAUCAGAGUCACGAGGUUCCUGCAAUCAUCUAAUUCAAGCCAUUCUAGCAUUGAAUGGUUUUGGAUAUUCUCUGGGAGACUUUCUAAGUUGCAACACUCUUUCAAUUUUAGCUGUUUUAAAGAUUGUAUGCCAUCAAGGAUGGACCACAAACUUAAUGCAUUAAUUUCUGUGCACCCUGAAAGGUCUAGUUCCGUAACAAACCCAAGUCCAUGAUCAUCUGAUAACUUAUUCCCGACAAUGUUAAGCUUGUUACAUCCAGUUAGGUUAAUAACAGUCAUUUUGGUAUUACGCCAAAUUGAUGAAGACAAUUGAUGUAUAUCAGUGCCACAUAAGGAUAACUCUGUCAUUUCCUCCGAUGUCACUGAAAAUUCCAUGAGAGAUGAACAACCAUCAAGUUUAAGGUUUCGGAGAGAAUUUGAAUGAAUAUUGGUUUUAAGGCUUUCGAUCUUUAUGCAACCUCCUAAAUCUAGUACAAUAAGUCGAGGGAGAGAAAAGAUGUAUGGAUGGAGAUGACGCAGGCUUUCACAUUUAUAGAGAUGUACUUUUUCAAGAUUUGUAGCCCUAGAUAAGUUUGGGAUCUCAAUCAGAUCUUUGGAGUAAUUAAGGCUAAAUGUGAUUAGAUUCACAAGAUUCUGUAACAAGAAAUAAACAUGCAUUAGUGUCGAUUAAAAGAGAAACAAAACCUAGUUAAGAAUAAACAGAAGCAUGCCAUACUAACUCUGCUGCAUUUUUGUGAAUGACAUUAGACUUCCUCUUGUACCUCUAUAAAGUUAACAAGUACAUCCAAACAUUUUGUACCUGAACUCCAUCCCAGAGCUUUUUAAGCUUGCUAUGAGUCAUGUGAAGCUCUACAAGCAUUUCAGCACAAAAGUUUGAUGGAAAAGACUCAGGACAAUAUCCCUCCCAUUGAAGGUACCUCAAUUUAUCAGAAAGCCACUCGAGACCAUCAGGAAAAUGUACAUUGCAUAUGCUCCCGUUGGAUAUAUUAUGAAUCUUAAGAUAUCUUAAGUUUGUCAUCCUUCUAAAGGAAUCAGACUUCAAGUAUAGAUCCCCAACUUCCGUACUAUCGAAUAUUAUACCUUCCCCAACUUUAGUUCCCUGACAACGAAAAUUAGAUUAAUAAUUAGGAAAGGCUGUCAUAUGUACUUUCAUUGUUAUAUUUUAUAAUUACAUACAUAUAUUUUCAUAUAUAAGUGAUUGCAUCCUCUGCUUACCUUGUUUUCUUUUAAUAUAUCAGAUAUUUCUUUAGCUCUCCACAACCGACUUCGUUUUCCAGGGUUUAUAGAUUCUUGAUUAACAAUCUCCUGUCCCAUUUCUUGUAACAAAUCAUGUAUAUGUAAACUAUCAACUUCCAACUUGGCAUACGAGUGCCAAUUUGGUUUUACUUGUAUGAGAGCUUUAUCUAAAACGACUUCUAUCCCACUUUCUGCAAAGAACUCACAAGCUUCCAACAAAUCUAUUAUAAAUAUUUUAUGCUCUCCUCUCAAAAAGCAUGCAAUAUCUAAAAAUAUGGCCUGUUGAAAAAAAUCUAAGUCAUCAUAACUGAAUUUUAACACGAUAUAAAUUUUCCUAUUUGGAAUCUUUUCGAGCUUUUUCAAUUCAUUUUCCCAUGCCUCUUUGCCUCUUGAGCGGAGAUUUACCCCUAAAACUUUUAAAGCCAGAGGAUUGCCUUUGCAAUAGGCAAUUACACUUUCUGAUAGAUCUUCAUAUCCAAUUUUAGGCUGUUUUCCUCCGAAGGCAUUCAAACUGAAUAGCUGAAGAGAAUCAUGAUUGUUCAAUUACAUGACCUCAUAUAUCUCACAUUUACUGAACUGACUAAAUAUGUGCUUAUCUCUAGUUGUCAUAAUGACCCUACUACCCGGUCCCAGCCCAUCAAUUUUUAGGAUAAGAUCUUCUAUUUGCUCUAAGGUUUCUAUGCCAUCUAACACAAUUAAAACUUUAAUUUUACGUGAAAUCCUUCUCUUGGAUAAAGUGGCUUCUAUGUAGGAUGCAUCAGGAUGAAUAUUUUCCUCCUCUAACAAUGAGGAUAAAAGUUUAUUGUAUACAACAUUAUGUCCAUACCUGUUUGAUUCAUCCAUUACAUUGAGAAAGCAACAACCUUCAAAUUGAGAAUAAAUUAUAGCAUAUGAAGCCCUAGCAAGAGUGGUCUUUCCUAUGCCACCCAUGCCCCAUAUUCCAAGGACUCUAACAUCAUUUGAGCCAAUUUUCAGUAUUGACUCAAUUUGGUCAUAAUUUUUCUCAACUCCAACAAGCCCCUUAAUUUCACAUGGGUAACUAAGAUUCAGUUUCCGCAAAACAUAUUUAACAAUGUCCUUAAUGAAGUCCGAUUCGAUCCUAGAAUAUGAAAGAGAGGAAGAAGAUUUUACAAGUCUAACAAAUACAAUAGUAGAAAAGUACAUCUAUAUGAUUAGUAUACAAAAUUUAUAGUCAAUAAGGUGACAGUGGCUUAGUAGAGCAAGAAACAAACAAAAAUUAGAUUUGGGGAAACAAAAUACCAAAGACACAAGGUAAUAAAUGUAUAUUUUCUAUGACUUUGGUAGUUUUCAGAAGGUUGUGUCAACUAUUACUUUGGCCUGUUUAUUUUCAAAAAUUAUUUUUAGUGUUUGUUUUCUAAAAUUUAUGUUCAUUUCCAAUUAAGAAAAUGGAGAUGAAAGACUCAUGUAGUAAAUAGCUGUGCUAUAUUAGAAAACAAAACAUGUAAAUGAUAUGAAAUAGUUUAUUUAUUUUACUUCGAAUUUUUUCGUUUUGUUUACCUGUAAUUUUGAGAGUCCCAACCAACUAAACUAGCUGCCUCAGUGAGUGCAUCUUUCCAUUCCUGUAACUUGUCAUUAUUGCUCUUCAAAUCUCGCUUAUGUUUUGCGAAGGCUUGCUUGUAACUCCCAGUCUGCUUCCUCACAUGUGAUGGAUCUAUGUUGUAAAAAACAGGUAUCACAAUCUGUACCAUAUAUUUCUUGCAUUCAAGAAUCUUUUUGAGCUCAUUCAAGCACCAUUUUGAGGAAGCAUAGUUUUCUGAGAAGAUGACAAUAGACACAUGUGACUCCUCAAUGGCUCUGAUGAGUGCUGGCGAUAUCUUAUCUCCUUUUUGAAGCUCAUUGUUGUCUAUAAAGGUUUCAACUUUCUUUCGGCUCAGAGCAUCAUAAAGAUGGCAUGUGAAGUUUCUGCGGGUAUCCUCACCUCGAAAGCUAAGAAAAACGUCAUAUUUUUUCACAGAUGCCACAGAAGAAGAAAAAACACUGUUUGUUUGCUUCCUAGCCAUUAUGAAUUCCAAGCGCUGCGCUAAUCACAAUGCUACACUCAAACAUAAAAAAUAUUUGAUGUUUAAAUUUGUUCUCGGUUACUAUUUGUACUGGCACUCGUGAUAGUGUUACAUAUUGAGAUUUAUAAAUCAGAUUGACAUCAGAUCAGGCAGUUCAAAGUCCACAUAUUGCUCAUAUAUCGACCUAGGUAAUGUGUAUUUUUUGAUCUAGGAAAGCUAUAGAAUAUGGCAAUUCCACGGGCCAGAUUAAUUAUUACUUCACAUUCAUAGGCUAUUUAAGUCUAGUUUUAUGUAUGGACUCCAAUCAUGUUUAACCUUGUUGCUUGAAUUGAAUUCUAGGUUUUAUCAGGGUUUCUCUUCAUUAGCCUUUUAAACAUUGAGUAGUAAUUAACAAAUAUGAAGACUAACUUAGCAUUCAUUCUUCAGAACCAAUUUGAAAGACUAAUUUGAAAUAUUUGCCAAUAUUGAUUUCAAAUUCAAGGAUAAAAUUAUGAAUAAACUACAAUUAGAGAAACUAACUAGUUAAAUUAUAAUUGACGGAAAAUAGAUCAUACCAAAGUCAGAAUCCAGCAAUAAUUGAGGAGGAAAAGAAUGUACAAUGACAGUCACAAUCCCAGCAGGGCAAUUAGCUUCUACCGGAAUCAAUAAAUAGCUUCUACCGGAAUCAAAAGCAGGCCUAACCAAAUAAUUCCAAUAAUUUAGAUGAAUGUCUUUAGACACCAAUUUUUUCAUUUUUAAGUGUUUAGGUACAACAGUUCAUAAUGCUUUGGUCGUGAUUUUAUAUGGAUUGAUCAAAAUUAAAAUAUAAAAUAACAUGUGGAUUUCAUGGUUUCCCUUCAUAGAAGUUUCGAUUCCAAUGCGUAGUCAGAUCAGAUGCAUAAAUGUGCAAGACGCCGGCUGAUUAAAAUAUGGCUACAAGAGGAUAUAUAUUUAGAGAGAAUUCAAAUCCUUCUAAGUAAAUUUUAUUGUUUGGAUGAUUAAUUUAGAGAAUUUUUUAAUUUAAUGAAAUUUUAUAAAGUAUUUUGUUCAAGUUAAAUUGAGUGAAUUUCAAAUGACAAAUAAGAUCUAGGAAUUUCAAAUUUCAAGUAUCAUUGUAACAUACAUUUUACUUUGAAAACCUGGUUACUUUUUCUUAUCUAGUUAAAAUAAAUAAAUUUCAAGUAUUGUAAGUGCUGGGUUGAAAGAGAUGUGGUUUGAUCAUUAUGUAGGAUAAAAAAAAUAAAAAAAUAAAAAAAUAAAAUAAAAAAAUCAUGAAUAAAUGUUACUCACUCCAUCUCAAAAUAUAUAAUUUGCUGAGUUUCUGCCUAAUUUCAAUACAUGAUAAUUAGUCUAACAGAUAACUUAGUCUGCAUGAUGCCAAGUUGAUUUCCAAAUUUGGCAUACGGCAUAAAAUACCUUACCUUCCCCAGUCAGUUUGGCAAAGUGGUAAGUUCUUAUUGGUUGUCAGUGUGAAAGAAAUUUACACCGACAGUGCAUGCCCCUAACUCUAUUGAUAAAUGGUAUUUUACAAUGAUCUGAGUAUAGUUUUGACAGUUGACAUCAUUGGAAUGGGAAAUUUUUAGUUGACAAUGCCAAAUACAGUAAGAACUGUAAACAAUAGAACCAACAUUAUAGACUGUUAUUUUGUGGGAAACACCAAUAUCUUAGACCUGUAUCAUUUAAACAGGAAAACCCAUUUACAGAACCAUUGUUCUUCUUAUGUUUCUUUCAUAUGACUCAACCAUGAAAAUCGAGCAGCUACUGCAGAAAGGGGAAAGAGAAACGGGAAUGAAAAUUCUUUUGGCGGUAAAGCGUAUUAUGCUUGGAGAAAGUGGCGCUUCAACCAUUAUGAUCAAGAACAUGAAACCACAAGGGAAUAGGGAUCCAUACACAAAUUGAUUAAUAUACCAACAAGUUCAGCACAAAAAAACUGAAUAAAAUUAGGAAUAUUUCUGAAAUGGUAUAAGUAACAAGCAACGUAUCACAAGAUUUUACAUGAAAAACAGGAGAAAGAGAUCACAACAUUUCUGACUUGUAUUAUUCUUUUGACCCUCUUAGCAAGUGCCUCAAAAAAAGACCUGUCCAGGAAUCAUGAGAAUUUUAAAACAAUUAUUCAUUUGAAGGAUUAAACUCUUUCUAUAUCAAAAUAAACUAAUAUGGAAUUUAUAAUUAGAAAGUAGAUGAGAAGAUUCAUACCGAUUGAACAGCAAGGAUGUUUCUGGUCAUCUUCAUUUUCAAUGUUGGAGCUUAUGACUUCACCUCCAAUUGCUGAAGGCUGUAACUCAUCAUUAUAAUUUUCCUGGCCAUCUUCAAUUUCAUUGUUAGACCAAUAAGACCUGUCAGAAUAUUGAUUACUGAAUUUUAAUUUACCAAUUUCCCUACCAGCCAGAUCCGACUUAUGUUCUAAGUUAUAUACAGGUAAGAUCCCACACCCUUUGAUCCCCUCCGUUGACCACCCCAAUUCUACGUUAUGUAUGAAUUGAAAUGAUAGUUUACAAUCAUUACUUCCAAAUUUUUCUCUUUUGUAACAAUACCAACAUAACAAUACAUGAUCUGAAAUUAAUCUCACAAUAUAAAGGGCAAAACAAAUAAUACACCUGUCGACUUCUUUGCCGUGUUCUAAGAUGAUACAAUGCAGGGGGUGACUCUGAAAAAGGAAGCCCUCAGAAAGAAUGGUGCAGAAUAUGAAACCAGACAGGUUAUAUUUUGGAAUAGGAGGAAUGGUUAUUGAAGCCUUCAUUGUUUGAAAAUCAAACUUGCAAGGAACUUGUGCUCCUGGCCAGAAAAGGUAAUUGGCAUCUUUAUUUACAUGAAAAGGGUCUUUAGAGAAAAUUUGUACCAUGUUCUCAAGAAAUGACCGUUGAGUGGAGUCUGUAUCCAGAUAAGUGCAAUUAAUGCCACUCAAAGUUAUUAGGGAUGACGGAAGUUCUGUUAGAGACACAAGUUUCCUGCAACCAUCUAAAUCAAGCCAUUUUAGCAUUGAAUGGUUUCGGAUAUUCUCAGGGAGACAUUCCAAGUUGCAACACUCUUGUAAUGUUAGCCCUUUUAAAGAUUGUAUGCCAUCAAGGAUGGACCACAGACUUAAUGCAUUCAUUUCUGUGCACCCUGAAAGGUCUAGUUCUGUAACAGACCCAAGUCCAUGAUCAUCUGAUAACUUAUUCCCAACAAUGUUAAGCUUGUUACACUUGGAUAGGCCAAGCGAAGUAAGUUUUCUAUUACGCCAAAUCGAUGAAGACAAUUCACGUAUAGCAGUGCCACCUAAGGUCAACUCUGUCAUUUCAUCCGAUGUCACUGAAAAUUCUGUGAGAGAAUAACAACCAUCAAGUAAGAGUUCACGAAGAGAUUUUGAAUGAAUGUUGGUUUUAAGGCUUUCAAUCUUUUUGCAACCUCGUAAAUCUAGAUAUCU
rnacentral:lncRNA from 1 species